CCAUGUACUGCAAGUUGACGACAAGUUCAUUGUUGAUGCCAUGUAAUUUCUUACAAAAAUACAUGUGGUACAGGUAAGCAUGCUAUUACCCGCCAUUGUGUGUGUUUUGCAUAUUUUUUCUAUUCAAUACUAUGAAGUUUUCCUCUGUUAUGCUCUUCUCAGUAUGAAGGCCGACACUGAUUAUCAAGUGGUUUAUUUGAAGAAUUAUAUAUAUUUAUUGAUACAACAUCUUCCAGUAUAGAUCUUAAAUGACAGCAAUAUCUGAAGUUACUUGUGUCUGCUUCCCCUCUUGAAAUCAACAUUUUGUUUUGAUUUUUCGGUACUUAAGUAAGGUCACUCAUCAGUGAGCAGGAAGUGUCUUCUCGAUACUUGUGUGAUGAAGGCCAAAAUUGGUUUUCUAACUUAUUAUUGUAGGUGCUUUAGAAAGUGCAAGUAUGUGUCACAAUAAUGCCUGGAAAUCAGCCAGUGGCUGGAUUAUUUGAGCUAUUUUGGCGUCUCUGCCAUCCUAUAGUUGUUCAGUUUUCUCUUUUGAAACGAGGCUAUCUAGAGGAUUUCAUGUUGUGGUUUAGGAAGGCAUCAGUGAAGAUUGGGAGGUAGAGAGGGAUUGCUCAAGUGGAAACAGAUCAAGAACCAGAAGGAGCUGAAGAUUUCGCUACUUCCUUGGUAAUAGCUUUGUGAGAUCAGUUAAAUAAUAUCCAGGACCAUGCACCCGCCCUUGACAAUGGCUUCCAGAAGCUAAGGUUGCAGGGGUGAAUUAAAGUUCGAUUUUCCAGCAGCGAGGUAACUACUACCGAUGGAGAUCAAACUAAUGAGCUCACAAAAAAAACUAUAGACAUCAAACACCGAAGGAGGUUAGUUUUUACCUGAGUGGAAACAGCAGUCGUAUUGUCUUGCUGGAGCCUCCUUUGUCAUGGAAAGUCACCAGCUUCAGGGAGUGCCAGCACAGUCGGAACAGACGCAGGGAGUGACAGUGGCAACUACGUGGAUUUGGCUCACCCAUACAAGAAACGGUGGCGCCAUCUACCGAUUUCGUGGCUCCGAGCUGCAGCGGGAGAUGCUGGGCCGUCGGGAUGCAGAUGGAGCCGCUGCAACUCCGAGCUGCCGGGCCACCGAGAUGUAGAUGGAGCCGCAGCGCCUCCGAGCUGCAGCGGGAGCUGCUCCACCACCAAGCUGCAGUGUGAGCCGCCGCGAAUAUGGAACCCAAGGUGCCCUCGUCCGCCUCCUCCAGCUGCUUCCUCACUUCACUUCAGUACGAGUACAGGGGGAGAGGAAUGGGACGAAGACUGGUGGAUGGAAUCAAGACCAGCGGUCAUGCGAGACACGUGGUAGGCAUUGUGCUACGUGGUGGCAGCUCGUGAAGCAACAAUCGACGUGUGUUGUUGUCUCUCAGCACGUGUAUCUUGAAGGCAUGAUUGUAGUUUUCUAUCUUUAAGGUC